AUUAAAAAGUGCCAAUGUGUGGUUGAAGAUUUUAUGUUAUGAAUUGUAUUUACAUUGUAAUGUAUGCAUGAUUAAUGUAGAAUGGAAAGUUCGGAUGAGGACUCAUACAAUGGUGAUGAUGAUUUUGAUGAGAUUCCAGAUUAUGACGAACAUUUGAAUGAGAAUGAAGAUUCGGAUGAAAAUGAUAAUCAGAGUGCAGGUUCUGAGGAAGAGGAUAAUCAG